GACGAACGCUGGCGGCGUGCUUAACACAUGCAAGUCGAACGGAAAGGCCCUGCUUUUGUGGGUUGCUCGUUUGGCGCACGGGUGAGUAACACGUGAGUAACCUGCCCUUGACUUUGUGAUAACUUCAGGAAACUGGGGCUCAUACCGGAUAUGAUCUCCUGCUGCAUGGUGUGGGUUGGAAAGUUUCGGCGUUUGUGGAUGGACUCGCGGCUUAUCAGCUUGUUGGUGGGGUAGUGGCUUACCAAGGCUUUGACGGGUAGCCGGCCUGAGAGGGUGACCGGCGACAUGGGGACUGAGAUACGGACCAGAAGCCUACGGGAGGCAGCAGGGGGGAAUAUUGCACAAGGGGCGGAAGCCUGAUGCAGAAACGCCGCGUGCGGGAUGACGGGCUUCGGGUUGUAAACAGAUGUCGCAGGUGACGAAGAGGGAGUGACGGUAAUGGGUAAAGAAGCAACGGCUAACUACGUG
rnacentral:rRNA from 1 species